GUUCAUCCUCGUGUAUCACCCCAGGAGUCUCGCUCAAACCAGGGGAUGGCAUCUGGAGUCAGUCGUCACGCUGAUUCAUCAUCGCUUUCCCAUCGUGGCUCCACAAAUCCCACUGAGCGUGGCAAGUCCAAGCCCUCAUGGAGACCAGUACGGGAGGUCCUCAAUGUAGACAGUGUGCUGAGCGAACUAGAGCGACGACAGCAGCAGCAACAGCAGCAACAGCGUGGAAGCCCUCGAUGUGUGCGUCGAUUCGCCCAUGAGAGGGGGCUGAUGAAGGACAAGCAGAAGGGUCUGAUGACUAUUUAUGAAGAUGACUCACGGCUGGAGACUGAAAGUCAAAGCUCCCAGGAGUCUCAACGACAGAUGAUGGUGACCAGGUCUAAAGGUGGAGCAAAUGUAGCACAGCGAAGUGAUAACUGGGUAAUACAGAGGACAGAGUCAGGAUAUGAGAGCAGUGAUAGGCUGAGCAGCGGCUCUACCAAUCCUGACUCACCUGGAGUUGAGAACUUUACCGGCAAAGAGCUGAGACUCAGUCAAGAUGCACAGCACCUCAGGGAUCAAGGCCAUAAUAAUCAAGAUGACUCAAAAAUGGAG
rnacentral:lncRNA from 1 species